AGAUUGAACGUUGGCGGCAGGCCUAAUACAUGCAAGUCGAACGAGAAAGGCCCUUCGGGGUUGAGUAAAGUGGCGGACGGGUGAGUAACGCGUAGGAAUCUACCCAGUAGUUGGGGACAACCCGAGGAAACUCGGGCUAAUACCGAAUACGAUCUAAGGAUGAAAGAGGGCCUCUAUUUAUAAGCUCUCGCUAUUGGAGGAGCCUGCGUUGGAUUAGCUUGUUGGUGAGGUAAUGGCUCACCAAGGCUACGAUCUAUAGCUGGUCUGAGAGGACGAUCAGCCACACUGGAACUGAGACACGGUCCAGACUCCUACGGGAGGCAGCAGUAGGGAAUAUUGCGCAAUGGGCGAAAGCCUGACGCAGCCAUGCCGCGUGUGUGAAGAAGGCCUUAGGGUUGUAAAGCACUUUCAAUGGUGAAGAAAUACUCGGGGCUAAUACCCUCGGGCUUUGACGUUAACCACAGAAGAAGCACCGGCUAACUCCGUGCCAGCAGCCGCGGUAAUACGGAGGGUGCGAACGUUAAUCGGAAUUACUGGGCGUAAAGCGCGCGUAGGCGGUUUGUUAAGUGAGGUGUGAAAUCCCCGGGCUCAACCUGGGAAUUGCACUUCAAACUGGCAGGCUAGAGUGUAGUAGAGGGAGGUGGAAUUUCCUGUGUAGCGGUGAAAUGCGUAGAUAUAGGAAGGAACACCAGUGGCGAAGGCGGCCUCCUGGACUAACACUGACGCUGAGGUGCGAAAGCGUGGGGAGCAAACAGGAUUAGAUACCCUGGUAGUCCACGCCGUAAACGAUGAGAACUAGCCGUUGGACUCCUUGAGGGUUUAGUGGCGCAGCUAACGCGAUAAGUUCUCCGCCUGGGGAGUACGACCGCAAGGUUA
rnacentral:rRNA from 1 species